rnacentral:rRNA from 1 species
AGUGAACGCUGGCGGCGUGCCUAAUACAUGCAAGUCGAACGGAGUGGCGCCCGGGUGCGUGAUGUAUAGCUAAUCUGCCCUACACUAGAGGACAACAGUUGGAAACGACUGCUAAUACUAUAUAGUGUGGGAUGAGGCUAUAUUGUAUCAGCUAGUUAGUGAGGUAAUGGCUAACCAAGGCUAUGACGCAUAACUGGUCUGAGAGGAUGAUCCGUCAACCUGGAACGGAGACACGGUCCAGACUCCUACGGGAGGCAGCAGGAGGCAAGCUUGCUCAAUGGGGGAAACCGUGAAGCAGCAACGCCGCGUGGAGGAUGACACUUUUCGUAGAGGAAACUCCUUUUGUUAGUGUAGCGGUACCUAAUGAAUAAGCACCGGCUAACUCCGUGCCAGCAGCCGCGAUAAUUC